AUUUUAUUGUUCUCCUACGGUUGUGUUUUCUAUCUUUAUGUGCGAAUUACAUCAUUGUCACUUUUAUUGCAACUUAUUGUGUUUUUCUAUUGCUAGUUUUUGGCCUAUUACCGAUUGCCAGAUUGUCUAUAACCGAUACUGGCAGACAGAGACAUAUUUAUGUACCACUAAGUAAUCCCUCUUUAUUUUAAGAUUUUUAUUUUAUUUUAAU